CGGGCAAAUACAUGAAGUUUCCAAAAUCUGCGAACGUGCCACGUGGCACUUCUUCAUUCGAGAGUUUUCAAAGAAUUCUCUAUUGGCAGCAUAUUACUCUAAAGAUGAUUGGCUGUGAUAUUUUUGAAAUUAACUUUCGUGUUUCUUUCCUCACUGUAUUCAUCAUAUUUUUGGCUGUGCUAUUUAUGGUGAUAUCUCUUAUCAAUCUGUACUUUUUCCGUGAUAACAUAUUCAACUUCACUUUUGUGCUUGUAACAUUUUUCUACGGAGUAAUUGGCUGCGGGAGACUUGGAUUUCUACUUACGCAUUCAAAAGUUUCUUCUAAGUUGGUGUUCGAAGCUAAGAAAACUUAUGAGCUGACAUCUAGUGGCGCCAGUGAAACAAAGGUUCUCGUCAAAUACACCAAAAUGUUGCAGCAGUGCGUUGUGUUUUUCAGCAUUGCUUUUAUGUUGGGAGUGGUACUCACUGCAAUAAUGCCUUUGAUUUUAUUUUUAUGGAAUGGUGAAAAAAUUCUUCCGUUCGGAGUGAUAUUGCCGUUUACCGAUCCCAACUCGGUGGAUGGUUACCAGUUGAACUACCUGUAUCAGAUAAGUUGCAUGCUGUGGACACCACCUGGCUUAACAGCAUCUCAAAAUAUGUAUUUCGCUUUAGUAUUCAACAUCUGCAUUCAGUACGAUUUGCUCAUUUUGAAAUUACAAGCACUCGAUGAGUUAAUUUGUCAGAACAAAGGCGAAAUUCAUGAUAUAAAAAUUCGAAGCAAAAUAAUCGACAUCAUUGAAAGCCAACAGCGACUGGACAAUUUUGUAACUACCCUUGAAGAAUUAUACGCAACACAAGUUUUUAUUGAAGUUGGCAGCAACGCAUUGCAAAUUGUGAUGACGCUUUUCGUGCAACACAUUGAUAUGUGGAUGCCAGGAUACCUAAUAUUGUUGAUUGCAACUUUUCAACUAUUUGUAUCGUGCUUUCUGGGGACGCUCAUCGAUAUCAAAAGCGAACUUUUUACGAAGGCAGUCUACGACAUAUCAUGGCAUAAAAUGGGAAAGGAGAAUCAAAAAACCCUCAAAUUUAUGUUAGCCAAGUCACAGUGUUCGCUGCAGCUUUCAUGUGGAGGAAUGAUGACGCUUAAUAUGAAUCUGUUUCUAACUGUUUACAAGAAAAUCUACUCGAUCUUCAUGAUGUUGCAGAACAUAUAAUUCAAAGGUCAACGCUUCUAACUGCAGUAUUAAACACAGGAUGUAAUACUCAUCAUCACAUUUGUUAUAUUGAGAGGAUAUCUCAUGUCAAAUCACCCGGUCGUCGUUGUCGUCGUCGUCUGUCUGAUGGCAAAGCGCACUUUUGAAGAGCUCCAACCAAUCUGCAGUUCGGUUCUGUUCAAGUGAACAAAUAUGCGUCGGCGGGACAGCAAAUCAUUUUCUUUUGUUUCGGUUGACCAGCAGACUAGAGAAAUAAAAUUAAUGUCCAUUUGGACGCCGGAAUGGGGUGUGUGAUUUGCACUCACAGAUUGACAGUCAUUUUUGACGGAGUGGUUCAACGGUUUCGAAACUUGU